UUCUGGCUCAGGAUGAACGCUAGCGACAGGCUUAACACAUGCAAGGUCGAGGGGCAGCACGGGAGUAGCAAUACAACUGGUGGCGACCGGCGCACGGGUGAGUAACGCGUAUGCAACCUACCUAUCAGAGGGGAAUAACCCGGCGAAAGUCGGACUAAUACCGCAUAAAACAGGGGCACCGCAUGGUGAUAUUUGUUAAAGAGAUUCGCUGAUAGAUGGGCAUGCGUUCCAUUAGGUAGUUGGUGAGGUAACGGCUCACCAAGCCGACGAUGGAUAGGGGAACUGAGAGGUUGGUCCCCCACACUGGUACUGAGACACGGACCAGCCUCCUACGGGAGGCAGCAGUGAGGAAUAUUGGUCAAUGGGCGGGAGCCUGAACCAGCCAAGUCGCGUGAAGGAAAAGAAGGAUCUAUGGUUCGUAAACUUCUUUUGCAGGGGAAUAAAGUGCAGGACGUGUCCUGUUUUGUAUGUACCCUGAGAAUAAGGAUCGGCUAACUCCGUGCCAGCAGCUGC
rnacentral:rRNA from 1 species